rnacentral:lncRNA from 11 species
GAAAGAUUGGUGCCAGGUAUUAGUACAGGUCUCAGUAGGUUACAAUCCCUUAGCCAUGUUGUCUGAGUGAUUUUUGGAGGACUUUUCAAACAGAACUUUUUAGACCAAAUUCAACACAUCUUUUUUUAUACGACAUAGAUAUUUGACAAAGAGUCAUGAUUCUAGAAAACUUCUGAAAAGAUCAGAAAGCAAACAAUCCUUUCCCUUGACUGAAACAACAGCACACCCGUUUCUCCGACUUAUCUAGAUGUUAUUGAGACGAGUCAAAGGUUUUCACAAAAUCUGCGCUUGGAUUUCAUUGACUUCGAACAUAAGUGCCAUGAGGAACUCGCACAGAUCGUAGACGAAAGGAAAAAAAUGAGCAAGAAAUACAAAAGGAUGUUGAAAACCAUCACCAAGAAGCCGACUGACGCAAGGUUAAGAACAGAGAAAUUUCUUGCCCAAAUGGUAUUUCACUACUUCUGUCAGUCUUCAUAGUCUUGAAGUAAAAUCUGUACUUUAGUUCAAAGUGCAGGAAGCCUCUGCAGGUUAUUAGAAAAGGGAAUUGCAAUUCCGGGAGGCUUCUGGGAAAGAUAAUUCGUAAAUCCAGAAAGUCUGGAGGGUCAGGGCUGCAAACAGAGUCUGGGGGUGAUUUUGCCCAUUUCAGUCUAUGCAAGGAGCCUAUUCCUUGCAGACAUAGACAAUCCUGGAGGUUGAAUUUCAUUCUGAAUUAACCAACUGCAUGUAGUAGUAGUAAUAUAUGUAUUAUGAAUGAAUGGUUGGUGUGUGAAAUAAUCCUUUCCAAAAGCAGGGAUAGACUAUAAGGCUCAGAAGGAAACCCCAUCAGAAGCAGACAUAGAGGCUUAACAUACAUAGUUAUGCUACUUUUCUGUGCUUAAUUCAUCCAUUAAUUUGGGUGUUUUAUUUGAACAGGAAAGUGCAAAGCCACGGCAAUAUGGAACAACUGUUUAAAGACUUCUAGCCUUAAGAGGUGCGUGGCAACAGCUGAAUUUGAUUCAGUGACAUAUUUGUUAUUAAAUGUACCCCUUUCUUUCAAGUCAAUAAAAAUGAGACAGUGCAACUUUUUUUUUUUUG